rnacentral:rRNA from 1 species
AAUGCCGGAUGCUCCAUCACACCGCAUGGUGUGUUGGGAAAGCCUUUGCGGCAUGGGAUGGGGUCGCGUCCUAUCAGCUUGAUGGCGGGGUAACGGCCCACCAUGGCUUCGACGGGUAGCCGGCCUGAGAGGGCGACCGGCCACAUUGGGACUGAGAUACGGCCCAGACUCCUACGGGAGGCAGCAGUGGGGAAUAUUGCACAAUGGGCGCAAGCCUGAUGCAGCGACGCCGCGUGAGGGAUGGAGGCCUUCGGGUUGUAAACCUCUUUUGUUAGGGAGCAAGGCACUUUGUGUUGAGUGUACCUUUCGAAUAAGCACCGGCUAACUACGUGCCAGCAGCCGCGGUAAUACGUAGGGUGCAAGCGUUAUCCGGAAUUAUUGGGCGUAAAGGGCUCGUAGGCGGUUCGUCGCGUCCGGUGUGAAAGUCCAUCGCUUAACGGUGGAUCCGCGCCGGGUACGGGCGGGCUUGAGUGCGGUAGGGGAGACUGGAAUUCCCGGUGUAACGGUGGAAUGUGUAGAUAUCGG